AAGACCUUGCGCUUUUGGAGCGGCCGAUGCCUGAUUAGCUUGUUGGUAAGGUAAAAGCUUACCAAGGCUUCGAUCAGUAGCUGGUCUGAGAGGACGACCAGCCACACUGGGACUGAGACACGGCCCAGACUCCUACGGGAGGCAGCAGUGGGGAAUUUUGGACAAUGGGGGCAACCCUGAUCCAGCCAUGCCGCGUGAGUGAAGAAGGCCUUCGGGUCGUAAAGCUCUUUCAGCCGGAACGAAACGGUUACGGUUAACACCCGUGACUACUGACGGUACCGGAAGAAGAAGCACCGGCUAACUACGUGCCAGCAGCCGCGGUAAUACGUAGGGUGCGAGCGUUAAUCGGAAUUACUGGGCGUAAAGCGUGCGCAGGUGGUUUUGUAAGUCAGAUGUGAAAGCCCCGGGCUCAACCUGGGAACU
rnacentral:rRNA from 1 species